rnacentral:rRNA from 1 species
UACGUAGGCGGGAAAUUAAGUCAGUAGUGAAAUCCCACAGCUUAACUGUGGAACUGUUAUUGAUACUGGUUUUCUUGAAUAUAGUUGAGGUAGGCGGAAUGUGUAAUGUAGUGGUGAAAUGCUUAGAUAUUACACAGAACACCGAUUGCGAAGGCAGCUUACUAAACUAUGAUUGACGCUGAGGUACGAAAGCGUGGGGAGCGAACAGGAUUAGAUACCCUGGUAGUCC